AGGGUUCGAUUCUGGCUCAGGAUGAACGCUGGCGGCGUGCUUAACACAUGCAAGUCGAACGGGAUCCAUCAAGCUUGCUUGGUGGUGAGAGUGGCGAACGGGUGAGUAAUGCGUGACCGACCUGCCCCAUGCUCCGGAAUAGCUCCUGGAAACGGGUGGUAAUGCCGGAUGUUCCACAUGAUCGCAUGUGAUUGUGGGAAAGAUUCUAUCGGCGUGGGAUGGGGUCGCGUCCUAUCAGCUUGUUGGUGAGGUAACGGCUCACCAAGGCUUCGACGGGUAGCCGGCCUGAGAGGGCGACCGGCCACAUUGGGACUGAGAUACGGCCCAGACUCCUACGGGAGGCAGCAGUGGGGAAUAUUGCACAAUGGGCGCAAGCCUGAUGCAGCGACGCCGCGUGAGGGAUGGAGGCCUUCGGGUUGUAAACCUCUUUUGUUUGGGAGCAAGCCUUCGGGUGAGUGUACCUUUCGAAUAAGCGCCGGCUAACUACGUGCCAGCAGCCGCGGUAAUACGUAGGGCGCAAGCGUUAUCCGGAUUUAUUGGGCGUAAAGGGCUCGUAGGCGGCUCGUCGCGUCCGGUGUGAAAGUCCAUCGCUUAACGGUGGAUCUGCGCCGGGUACGGGCGGGCUGGAGUGCGGUAGGGGAGACUGGAAUUCCCGGUGUAACGGUGGAAUGUGUAGAUAUCGGGAAGAACACCGAUGGCGAAGGCAGGUCUCUGGGCCGUCACUGACGCUGAGGAGCGAAAGCGUGGGGAGCGAACAGGAUUAGAUACCCUGGUAGUCCACGCCGUAAACGGUGGAUGCUGGAUGU
rnacentral:rRNA from 1 species